rnacentral:rRNA from 1 species
AAUCAACGCUGGCGGCGUGCCUAACACAUGCAAGUUGAACGAGAAAGUGGGGGCAACCCUGCGAGUACAGUGGCAGACGGGUGAGUAACACGUGAACAACCUACCCUUGAGUGGGGAAUAACACCGCGAAAGCGGUGCUAAAACCGCAUAAAAUCCUUUUAUCGCAUGGUGAAGGGAUCAAAAGCGCAAGUUGCUUGAGGAGGGGUUCGCGGCUGAUUAGCUAGUUGGUGAGGUAACGGCCCACCAAGGCAACGAUCAGUAGCCGGCCUGAGAGGGCGAACGGCCACACUGGAACUGAGACACGGUCCAGACUCCUACGGGAGGCAGCAGUGGGGAAUUUUGCGCAAUGGGCGAAAGCCUGACGCAGCAACGCCGCGUGGAGGAUGAAGGCCUUCGGGUCGUAAACUCCUGUCGAUGGGGACGAAAGCCUAGCAAUAGGAUUGACUGUACCCGUUGAGGAAGCCACGGCUAACUCCGUGCCAGC